rnacentral:rRNA from 1 species
UACGAAGGGGGCUAGCGUUGUUCGGAAUUACUGGGCGUAAAGCGUAUGCAGGCGGAUCGUUAAGUCGGGGGUGAAAUCCCGAGGCUCAACCUCGGAACUGCCUUUGAUACUGCAAAUCUCGAGUCCGAUAGAGGUGGGUGGAAUUCCUAGUGUAGAGGUGAAAUUCGUAGAUAUUAGGAAGAACACCGGUGGCGAAGGCGGCCCACUGGAUCGGUACUGACGCUGAGGUGCGAAAGCGUGGGGAGCAAACAGG